AAGAUGUCACAAGAGGUUUAGUUGCCGCC
rnacentral:piRNA from 1 species